rnacentral:rRNA from 1 species
UACGUAGGGUGCGAGCGGUAAUCGGAAUUACUGGGCGUAAAGCGUGCGCAGGCGGUUUUGCAAGACAGAUGUGAAAUCCCCGGGCUUAACCUGGGAACUGCAUUUGUGACUGCACGGCUAGAGUGCGGCAGAGGGGGAUGGAAUUCCGCGUGUAGCAGUGAAAUGCGUAGAUAUGCGGAGGAACACCGAUGGCGAAGGCAAUCCCCUGGGCCUGCACUGACGCUCAUGCACGAAAGCGUGGGGAGCAAACAGG